rnacentral:rRNA from 1 species
UACGUAGGGUGCGAGCGUUGCCCGGAUUUAUUGGGCGUAAAGGGCGCGUAGGCGGCCUGGCGCGUCGGCUGUGAAAUCUCCCGGCUCAACUGGGAGGGGACGGCCGAUACGGCUGGGCUUGAGCGAGGUAGGGGAGAGUGGAAUUCCCGGUGUAGUGGUGGAAUGCGUAGAUAUCGGGAGGAACACCAGAGGCGAAGGCGGCGCCCUGGCUCGCAACUGACGCUCAGACACGACAGCAUGGGGAGCGAACGGG